AAAAAGGCCCUUUUUAGGGCCACCACAAGAUCAACAGGAGAGCUA
rfam:Rattus norvegicus chromosome 17, whole genome shotgun sequence.